GAUGAACGCUGGCGGCGUGCCUAAUACAUGCAAGUCGAGCGAACAGACGAGGAGCUUGCUCCUCUGACGUUAGCGGCGGACGGGUGAGUAACACGUGGAUAACCUACCUAUAAGACUGGGAUAACUUCGGGAAACCGGAGCUAAUACCGGAUCAUAUAUUGAACCGCAUGGUUCAAUAGUGAAAGCCGGUUUUGCUGUCACUUAUAGAUGGAUCCGCGCCGCAUUAGCUAGUUGGUAAGGUAACGGCUUACCAAGGCAACGAUGCGUAGCCGACCUGAGAGGGUGAUCGGCCACACUGGAACUGAGACACGGUCCAGACUCCUACGGGAGGCAGCAGUAGGGAAUCUUCCGCAAUGGGCGAAAGCUUGACGGAGCAACGCCGCGUGAGUGAUGAAGGUCUUCGGAUCGUAAAACUCUGUUAGUAGGGAAGAACAAAUGUGUAAGUAACUAUGCACGUCUUGACGGUACCUAAUCAGAAAGCCACGGCUAACUACGUG
rnacentral:rRNA from 1 species